rnacentral:lncRNA from 1 species
AGUGAUUGAAAGGUGUGGAACAGCAUUCUGAUGCUACAUGAAGCUAAGUGCAGGAUAGGUGACACUUUCCUAUGAGGACAGCUUGUGAACUGAUGUUUUACUCUCUUUUCUUCAGAAUUUAAGAAGGGCAUCACAGUGGCCUCCUUCCUCAGAACAAGAACACUUGAGCAGCAGAGCACUGCAAUCUUCCACCCAGAGUUGACAGGCAUGAUGACCUCAGAGCAGAGAAGAAAUCACAGCAUUGCACCUCAGAUGGGGACAUUCCACACCUCUUGGCAUAUGUUUGUUCUGUGCUCUGCUGUACAGAAUCCAAAGUACAGACAGUGCUUGUACUGAAGAGCUUGCAUGUCCAAACAAGGGCCAGACAGAUUGCAGUGAGUAACCCAGAGUCAGUCACCAGAUCUGCAGAACUCUUCAUCUCUUUCAUACAUUACUGUAAUUUUGUUCAAAAACUAAAGAGCUGCUGUCUCUUCAAAAAAAGCAAUGGUAAAUAG